CAGGCUUAACACAUGCAAGUCGAGGGGCAUCAGGAAGAAAGCUUGCUUUCUUUGCUGGCGACCGGCGCACGGGUGAGUAACACGUAUCCAACCUGCCCUUUACUCGGGGAUAGCCUUUCGAAAGAAAGAUUAAUACCCGAUGGCAUAAUGAUUCCGCAUGGUUUCAUUAUUAAAGGAUUCCGGUAAAGGAUGGGGAUGCGUUCCAUUAGGUUGUUGGUGAGGUAACGGCUCACCAAGCCUUCGAUGGAUAGGGGUUCUGAGAGGAAGGUCCCCCACAUUGGAACUGAGACACGGUCCAAACUCCUACGGGAGGCAGCAGUGAGGAAUAUUGGUCAAUGGGCGCUAGCCUGAACCAGCCAAGUAGCGUGAAGGAUGAAGGCUCUAUGGGUCGUAAACUUCUUUUAUAUAAGAAUAAAGUGCAGUAUGUAUACUGUUUUGUAUGUAUUAUAUGAAUAAGGAUCGGCUAACUCCGUGCCAGCAGCCGCGGUAAUACGGAGGAUCCGAGCGUUAUCCGGAUUUAUUGGGUUUAAAGGGAGCGUAGGUGGACUGGUAAGUCAGUUGUGAAAGUUUGCGGCCCAACCGUAAAAUUGCAGUUGAUACUGUCAGUCUUGAGUACAGUAGAGGUGGGCGGAAUUCGUGGUGUAGCGGUGAAAUGCUUAGAUAUCACGAAGAACUCCGAUUGCGAAGGCAGCUCACUGGACUGCAACUGACACUGAUGCUCGAAAGUGUGGGUAUCAAACAGGAUUAGAUACCCUGGUAGUCCACACAGUAAACGAUGAAUACUCGCUGUUUGCGAUAUACAGUAAGCGGCCAAGCGAAAGCAUUAAGUAUUCCACCUGGGGAGUACGCCGGCAACGGUGAAACUCAAAGGAAUUGACGGGGGCCCGCACAAGCGGAGGAACAUGUGGUUUAAUUCGAUGAUACGCGAGGAACCUUACCCGGGCUUAAAUUGCAGUGGAAUGAUGUGGAAACAUGUCAGUGAGCAAUCACCGCUGUGAAGGUGCUGCAUGGUUGUCGUCAGCUCGUGCCGUGAGGUGUCGGCUUAAGUGCCAUAACGAGCGCAACCCUUAUCUUUAGUUACUAACAGGUUAUGCUGAGGACUCUAGAGAGACUGCCGUCGUAAGAUGUGAGGAAGGUGGGGAUGACGUCAAAUCAGCACGGCCCUUACGUCCGGGGCUACACACGUGUUACAAUGGGGGGUACAGAAGGCAGCUAGCGGGUGACCGUAUGCUAAUCCCAAAAGCCUCUCUCAGUUCGGAUCGAAGUCUGCAACCCGACUUCGUGAAGCUGGAUUCGCUAGUAAUCGCGCAUCAGCCACGGCGCGGUGAAUACGUUCCCGGGCCUUGUACACACCGCCCGUCAAGCCAUGGGAGCCGGGGGUACCUGAAGUACGUAACCGCAAGGAUCGUCCUAGGGUAAAACUGGUGACUGGGGC
rnacentral:rRNA from 1 species